GAUGAAGAACGUAGCGAAAUGCGAUACGUAAUGUGAAUUGCAGAAUUCAGUGAAUCAUCGAGUCUUUGAACGCACAUUGCGCCCCCUGGUAUUCCGGGGGGCAUGCCUGUCCGAGCGUCAUUGCUGCCCUCAAGCACGGCUUGUGUGUUGGGCCUCCGUCCUCCUCCCGGGGGACGGGCCCGAAAGGCAGCGGCGGCACCGCGUCCGGUCCUCGAGCGUAUGGGGCUUCGUCACCCGCUCUUGUAGGCCCGGCCGGCGCUUGCCGACACAUCAAUCUUUUUGCCAGGUUGACCUCGGAUCAGGUAGGGAUACCCGCUGAACUUAAGCAUAUCAAUAAGCGGAGGA
rnacentral:misc_RNA from 1 species